GGGAUGCAGCUUAGCUGGUAGGGCGCUUGCCUCACAUGCACAGGCCCUGGGUUCAAUCCCCAGCACCCA
rnacentral:tRNA from 1 species